rnacentral:rRNA from 1 species
GUCCCGCAACGAGCGCAACCCUAUGUUAGUUGCCAUCAUUCAGUUGGGCACUCUAGCGAGACUGCCGGUAAUAAACCGGAGGAAGGUGGGAUGACGUCAAAUCAUCAUGCCCCUUAUGACCUGGGCUACACACGUGCUACAAUGGUUGGUACAACGAGUUGCGAGUCGGUGACGGCGAGCUAAUCUCUUAAAGCCAAUCUCAGUUCGGAUUGUAGGCUGCAACUCGCCUACAUGAAGUCGGAAUCGCUAGUAAUCGCGGAUCAGCACGCCGCGGUGAAUACGUUCCCGGGCCUU